UACGUAGGGGGCUAGCGUUGUCCGGAAUCAUUGGGCGUAAAGCGCGUGUAGGCGGUUCGGUAAGUCCGCUGUGAAAGUCGGGGGCUCAACCCUCGAAUGCCGGUGGAUACUGUCGGACUAGAGUACGGAAGAGGCGAGUGGAAUUCCUGGUGUAGCGGUGAAAUGCGCAGAUAUCAGGAGGAACACCUAUUGCGAAGGCAGCUCGCUGGGACGUUACUGACGCUGAGACGUGAAAGCGUGGGGAGCAAACAGG
rnacentral:rRNA from 1 species